GGGGCUUAAAGUCUUGUAAUUGGAAUGAUGGGAAUUUAAACCUCUUCCAGAGUAUCAAUUGGAGGGCAAGUCUGGUGCCAGCAGCCGCGGUAAUUCCAGCUCCAAUAGCGUAUAUUAAAAUUGUUGCAGUUAAAAAGCUCGUAGUUGAAUUUCUGCUGCAUUGCUUGUGUCCCUCUGGGGUCUGUGCAUGUGGCUUUUUUCGGACGGAGUUUCUUUGUCUGAAUGUUUACUUUGAGAAAAUUAGAGUGCUCAAAGCAGGCUUUCGCCUUGAAUAGUUUAGCAUGGAAUAAUAAAGUAGGACUUUGGUUCUAUUUUGUUGGUUUUAGGUACCAAAGUAAUGGUUAAUAGGAACAGUUGGGGGCAUUCGUAUUUAACUGUCAAAGGUGAAAUUCUUAGA
rnacentral:rRNA from 1 species